GGUGUAAAUAUAGUUUCCAUUCAUUUCAUUUUUUUUUUCAAAAAUGCCUUAAAAAUACAAUAAGUCCCAAUGGCAUUUUCGUAGUAGCACAGUAAGAUUAUGGGCUUAUUCGUACUUCGAACUCUUAUAAAAGUAUACAGAGAAACUCCUUGCUAUAUUAGUACACUGAUAACAAGCAAAAUAAUUUCCAAAAAAGGAAGAAAAAAAUGAUGAAGAAAACAGUGGUUGCGGUUAUGAUUAUGUUCUUGGUGUUUUCUUACUCUGAACGAGUAGCAGCCGACGCAUUCGAUUGUCUCGACGGUUGCAUAACUGGCUGCGUUUCUCAACAUUUCCGCGACAGUAAGUUCUACUCUCCUACAUAGCCAUAUUGGCUAGAUUGGGGGUCCGCUGUGACAGGAAGUGUGAGAUAAGAUGCGGUCCAGAUUCUACAAUUAAAGAGGAUGUUAAUGCAGCCACAAAAGGGUAAAGAGCACCUAGUAAUGUGAAGGAGGUGCAUCAUCACCAUCAUCAAGCUCAUGAAUAAACAAUAAUGACUAUAGAUGAGCUUGGCCAGUUGUGUAUAAGCCCUACUCCUUAAAAAUAGUGUUCUCUACUGAUUGAUAAGGUACAAGUAUUUGUAUGGUAGCCUCAAAACCAAGACUCACAAGUUUGGUGAAGCUUGAAUUAAUUUGAUAUGCCUUGCUUGAA